rnacentral:rRNA from 1 species
GAUGAACGCUGGCGGCGUGCCUAAUACAUGCAAGUCGAGCGAACAGACGAGGAGCUUGCUCCUCUGACGUUAGCGGCGGACGGGUGAGUAACACGUGGAUAACCUACCUAUAAGACUGGGAUAACUUCGGGAAACCGGAGCUAAUACCGGAUAAUAUAUUGAACCGCAUGGUUCAAUAGUGAAAGACGGUUUUGCUGUCACUUAUAGAUGGAUCCGCGCCGCAUUAGCUAGUUGGUAAGGUAACGGCUUACCAAGGCAACGAUGCGUAGCCGACCUGAGAGGGGGAUAGGCCACACUGGACUGAGACACGGUCCAGACUCCUACGGGAGGCAGCAGUAGGGAAUCUUCCGCAAUGGGCGAAAGCCUGACGGAGCAACGCCGCGUGAGUGAUGAAGGUCUUCGGAUCGUAAAACUCUGUUAUUAGGGAAGAACAAAUGUGUAAGUAACUAUGCACGUCUUGACGGUACCUAAUCAGAAAGCCACGGCUAACUACGUG